UUUGGGACUUUGGGACUACUGGGGUUCCCUCAUCGUUUUGCUAUUACUGGAUCUAGGUAGAUGACAGGAUUAAGGCUCAGAUAAAUCUUUAUCGGCUGUAAUGAGAUUUCAAAAUAAAAAAUGAAAAAGGAUUUUCAGACGAAUAGUCCAGAGCCCUUUGGUACAAUGUACAAACUAUGUCAAAAUCAGUUCCUAAGAUGUCGAGGUUAUUUUAAAAGCCUUCAGAGCCUGUGUGCAUGAAACACUUUCCCGGUGGCCCCGGCUGCGGCGGAGCCUCCCCUUAACCCGAGUGUUUCCAGCGCCGCGCCACGGCGGGGCCCGGGACCCCGGGACAGGAGCGGUGGGGCCGGGCGCGGGGGGACCGCGGCCACCACGAGCCCCGUCACCUUACCGCGGCCACCGAGGGCUGCCCGCGGUCGCCACCAACUUCUCAGCGGCGGCAGCAGCAGCAGCGCAAGUUGGCAGCCGCCGGCUGCUCGCCUCGGGCAAGAGCGGGAGGGCGGCCCAAGCUCCUCUGCUGGCGAAGCCAAAAAAAAAAAAAAAAAAAAAAAAAAAGGAAAGAAAGAAAAGGGAAGGAAGGCAGAGGAACGACAGAACGGCAGACAGACGGCGGCCGGCUCCAGGAUGGGUACCUCAAGUAUUGUGGCACCCAUCUAAUGUGUACACAUGCUCUUUGCUGAAGAAGGAGGAAGAAUCCAAUCCCAGAUGUUGCAAAGAAAUGUGGUCUGUGGAACAAGAAAUGAGGCAAGAUGGGGUCAGGGACAGUACUGGACCUUCAUAGUGACAGUCCACAAAAAGCUUCAUUUUGCUUAUGGCUAACAGUGAGCUUUACACUUUACUAUCUUUAUUCACUUUAGAGAGAAGCUGUUUCUUUUGUUUGGCUGGAUUUUUUCAUCAGCUGUAUUAUGAGCCUGAACAGUUACAUAUCCAGGCAAAUUUAGACGGAUUUCUUUUCAUCUUUAGUCACCUUACCUUAGUAGCCAUUGGAAUGGCAUUUGGAGGAAAAAGAAUUUGGAUGACAUAUGUCUUCAGACACUGGUGUAGGAGCUGUACAUCAGCAGCAGUAUCCAUACCUAAUAAUACAAAAUAAAUGCUAAUUACAGAUAACCUGAAAAGGCCUUUAUAUGCAUAGGUAAGCAUUUCAUCUAUAAAAAUAAGAGCAUUCUGGAUAUCAAUUACGUAUCUCAUAGUCUAACUUUAAUUUCUGUACAGACUUUGUACAAGAUAGCUUGGUUGGCAUAUAGUAG
rnacentral:lncRNA from 1 species